CAAGGAGGAGGAGGAGGAGGAGGAGGAGGACAGUACCAAGGUGGAAGGGGUUAUAAUCCUCAGACUCAACAGGGAGGUCGUGGUGGUGGUCGUGGAUAUGGAGGACCUCCACAAGAGUAUGGUGGACCACAAGAGUACCAAGGAAGAGGAAGGGGUGGACCUCCACAAGAGUACGGUGGACCACAAGAGUACCAAGGAAGAGGAAGGGGUGGACCACAAGAGUACCAAGGAAGAGGAAGAGGAGGACCUCCUCAUCAAGGAGGUCGAGGAGGGUAUGGCGGUGGCCGCGGAGGUGGAUCCUCUGGUGGACAGCCGCCGAGACAAUCACACCCCGAGCUGCACCAAGCUACCUCACCUGCUUAU
rnacentral:lncRNA from 1 species